GAGGAGGGGGCGGGGCCUGAGUGGCCCAGGUUUUAUUGGUGACAGGAUGACGCCAUUGCCGGUGACACUGCAGCUGUUGUUGUGGUAGAUGUCGUCGUUGUUGUCGUUGUGGUGGUUGGAGUUGUUCACAUGGCUUUGCUGCUCCCACAGAGAGAGUGACAUGGUUCCACAGCUUGUCAAUGCUGCCCAUUACAAGCAGAGGAUGGCGUGAGGAACUCACUUGCCGGUCUUAGGGAAUUUCGUUGCAGAAGACAAGCACUUCACGUCAACCUGACCCAGCUGCUUACUGAGCAUUUUGCAAUAUACACCUAAAAUAUGAUUAAUAAUAAUUAUAAGGCGGGGAAUUUAGCAAAAACUCAGUGGUGACUGCGUGUAGGCAAUAAGACACUGUAUCAAAUGCAAGGAUUAUUAUUAUUACAUGUAUUGGGGUAUACACACACACACAUAUGUGCAUGUAGUGGCAGAGAUAAAAGGGGGAGUGGGGUGAGCAACCUCCUUUAGGAGUAUGUAAUGACAACUUUACCUCCCGCUCUGCCUCUCUUCCCAUCGUUCUCCCCGCUGCCUUGUGCCUCGAAUGACCUUAUAGCUAAUAAAGUUAUUUACAAAAGACAAA